GGGGAAUGCCAGAGUAGGAGUAGAAGAUGUAGAUGCAUCUUGCUUGAAGAGUUAUUUAGUUUUGUUUACUUUAUGGGAUUAUUUUAAUUAUUUUUUUGAACUUUAAUUCAGUUCAGAUCACUUGGGGGAUCCAUGCCAGGAUUACAGUUAAAAAUUUGAGUUUUAAGUAUGGUCUUAAAAAUGCAUAGGGAAGGAAUCGGGGGAAUCGGUUGAUUCUUAUUGAUUCGCUUGAUUUAGCACUAAUUCAUGUAUAUUUGGAAUUGGCCUGUGGCUAUUAUGGAAAAG
rnacentral:misc_RNA from 1 species